GCCGCUAUGGUGAAAUUGGUAGACACGCUGCUCUUARGGAAGCAGA
rnacentral:tRNA from 1 species